rnacentral:lncRNA from 1 species
UGGAAGUAACCAUCCACGAAACCACUACGAUCUUCCCUUCUAAGCCGCCUUUCUCCGAAAAUCAUGUCCUUCCUCUCUCCCACCUUGACACCGACCGCAACCUCAAUCUCACUUUCCGUUACCUCCGUGUCUACGUCAACCACACAACACAACAAUUGGACCCAUAUGAAGUUCUCACCUCCUCCCUCUCCGCCGCUCUCGUCCCCUACUACCAAUUCACCGGCUGUCUCCGUCGUCGUCCGUCGGACAACCGCCUAGAACUUUACUGUCAAGUAGGGAAUGGCAUUCCUGUAAUUCUGUCCACAGUUGAUUGUACCUUGGCCUCUAUUAACUACCUGGAUGAUCCAGAUUAUGAGUUUGCUGAGAAGUUGGUACCCGACCCGAGAUAUGACGAGGCAUUGACCCAACCCUUGAUUCUGCAGCUGACCCGGUUUAAGUGUGGCGGGUGGGUUUUCGGAACGGCGGUUCACCACGCGAUGUGUGAUGGUAUGGGAUCCACGCUUUUUUUCCAUGCUAUGGCGGAGAUUGCUCGUGGAGGGAAUGAGAUGAAGGUUGAACCGGUUUGGAACCGGUCGAGUUUGCUUGGACCGAGGAACCCACCGCGAGUUGAGUUCCCGGUUCAUGAGUUUCUCAGUUUAGAUAAGGAUUUAUCGCCGUAUUUGGAGUCAGGUAAACCGGCGGUUCGAGAGUGCUUUGAGGUGAAGGAUGAGUGGUUGGAUCGGCUUAAGGGGUUUCUAAAUGAGCAAUCCGGUUUAAAUUUUACAACGUUUGAAGCUCUGGGAGCUUUUAUCUGGCGAGCAAAGUAUGUCUUUUUUCCCUUACUUCCAACUUCUUUGGUAGUUUUAGUACUUUUGGGAUUUUUUUUUGUCACGAAAUUCAAGAAGAUUAAUCAUUUUCCUUUAUAGUAUUUAUAGAUGAAAGCUCUGCUAAUGUGAGCUUUGCAAAGUUUAAAAAUGAUCAAGUUCGAACAAAAAAAGAUGGUUAUAAUAGGUUUAUGAUUACUCCUCAAUCAGCUUAGUAAUUUGAUUAAAUGCCUAUAGAUGAAAUAACAUCAAAUACUCUAGCAUUUUAAGGUCAUCUCAAAUUCUUAAAGAUUGUUCCUUUAUUUUUGCCUCUUUUAUUGUUGUCAUUUUGUACAUAUCACCAGAAAUUUUAGACCAAAAAAAGUAUUUACAGACCCUUGACAUAAUAAUCGGUAGCUAAUCUUGGCAGGGAUUCCCUUAAUGUCAAUUAUAUGCAGACAAAUGGUAUCAUUUGAAGGAAUUGGUAAUAAUAUUUGUCAUGUGUUAAUUGUCUAGGCUAGGGACUGAUCUGUUAAUACUUGUGAAAUAGGGCAAAGGCUUCUAAAAUCCCAGGUGAUGAGAUAGUGAAGUAUGCCUAUCUAACCAAUAUCAGAAGAACAGUGAAGCCAGCAUUGCCAGCAGGCUACUGGGGCAAUGGUUGUGUGCCAAUAUACGUUCAGCUCCUUGCAAAAGACCUCAUCAAUCAACCUAUCUGGAAAACAGCAGACGCGAUCAAGAAGAGCAAGAGCAUCAUCACGGAUGAGUAUGUUCGUUCGUUAAUUGAUUUCCAGGAGCUUCAUUAUGAUGAAGGGAUUACAGCAGGGAAUAGGGUGAGUGCAUUUACAGAUUGGCGGCACGUAGGCCACGAGACAGUUGAUUUUGGGUGGGGCGGACCUGUGACUGUCUUCCCUCUGUCUAGGCACUUAGUUGGGAGUGUUGAACCUUGCUUUUUCUUGCCUUAUUCUUCUGCUACUGAAGGUAAGAAAGAUGGUUUCAAAGUUUUGGUUUGUCUGCAAGAAGAAGCCAUGCCUGUUUUCAAGGAAGAG